rnacentral:lncRNA from 1 species
CAGCUAUUCCUGAGAGAGUGGGAUGUAGCUGUAGAUCCACUGAUCUACUCUUUGAACCAGACUGCCUGUGUUUGAAUUCCAGCUCUUCCACUGACUAGCUCUUUAAAAUGCAGGGUAGGACCUCUCCCUCCCUCGAGGAGUCUUUCACCCACCCGACAGGGUCAGCGUGGGCAGCAGCACUCUCAGCCGGGACUCCGCAGAAAGGGUGAGCUUUUCCCUUCUGUACUUUUUGUUUAACUUUUCUGGAAACAUAACACUGCUCUAAAAAAUUUAAUAAUUAAAACAAAAUAGCAAGUUCCAAUUCCAGAAAUACUCAACUAG